rnacentral:rRNA from 1 species
GCUUGCUGGGUGGAUUAGUGGCGAACGGGUGAGUAACACGUGGGUGAUCUGCCCUGCACUUCGGGAUAAGCCUGGGAAACUGGGUCUAAUACCGGAUAGGACCUUCUGCCGCAUGGUGGGGGGUGGAAAGGUUUUCCGGUGCAGGAUGGGCCCGCGGCCUAUCAGCUUGUUGGUGGGGUAACGGCCCACCAAGGCGACGACGGGUAGCCGGCCUGAGAGGGCGACCGGCCACACUGGGACUGAGACACGGCCCAGACUCCUACGGGAGGCAGCAGUGGGGAAUAUUGCACAAUGGGCGCAAGCCUGAUGCAGCGACGCCGCGUGAGGGAUGACGGCCUUCGGGUUGUAAACCUCUUUCAGUACCGACGAAGCGCAAGUGACGGUAGGUACAGAAGAAGCACCGGCCAACUACGUGCCAGCAGCCGCGGUAAUACGUAGGGUGCGAGCGUUGUCCGGAAUUACUGGGCGUAAAGAGCUCGUAGGCGGUUUGUCGCGUCGUCUGUGAAAACCCGCAGCUCAACUGCGGGCUUGCAGGCGAUACGGGCAGACUUGAGUACUGCAGGGGAGACUGGAAUUCCUGGUGUAGCGGUGAAAUGCGCAGAUAUCAGGAGGAACACCGGUGGCGAAGGCGGGUCUCUGGGCAGUAACUGACGCUGAGGAGCGAAAGCGUGGGUAGCGAACAGGAUUAGAUACCCUGGUAGUCCACGCCG